UGGGGAAUAUUGGACAAUGGGCGAAAGCCUGAUCCAGCCAUGCCGCGUGUGUGAAGAAGGUCUUCGGAUUGUAAAGCACUUUAAGUUGGGAGGAAGGGUUGUAGAUUAAUACUCUGCAAUUUUGACGUUACCGACAGAAUAAGCACCGGCUAACUCUGUGCCAGCAGCCGCGGUAAUAAAGAGGGUGCAAGCGUUAAUCGGAAUUACUGGGCGUAAAGCGCGCGUAGGUGGUUAGUUAAGUUGGAUGUGAAAUCCCCGGGCUCAACCUGGGAACUGCAUUCAAAACUGACUGACUAGAGUAUGGUAGAGGGUGGUGGAAUUUCCUGUGUAGCGGUGAAAUGCGUAGAUAUAGGAAGGAACACCAGUGGCGAAGGCGACCACCUGGACUGAUACUGACACUGAGGUGCGAAAGCGUGGGGAGCAAACA
rnacentral:rRNA from 1 species